CCCCACCCCAGCAGGAGCUGGCGCAGUGCCGGGCGGUGGCCGAGCACCGGGGGGGCCCCCACGACCCCCAGCGCCUGCGGGAGCACCCCGUGCUGGACUGCACCGUGGCCGCUUGCCGGGAGCUGCAGUGCCAGCUCCAGGAGCUGGACCCCCCCCAGUCCUUGGGGUUCAGCCUGGGGGGGACCCUGGCCCUGGGCUGGGUGGCAUCG